rnacentral:rRNA from 1 species
CAGCCGCCACGGUAAUACGAAGGGGGCUAGCGUUGUUCGGAUUUACUGGGCGUAAAGGGCGCGUAGGCGGACUGAUAAGUCAGGGGUGAAAUCCCAAGGCUCAACCUUGGAACUGCCUUUGAUACUGUUUGUCUUGAGUUCGAGAGAGGUAAGUGGAACUGCGAGUGUAGAGGUGAAAUUCGUAGAUAUUCGGAAGAACACCAGUGGCGAAGGCGACUGACUGGACAAGUAUUGACGCUGAGGUGCGAAAGCGUGGGGAGCGAACAGGAUUAGAUACCCGCGUAGUCCCUGUCUCUUAUAC